CUUCAACGACCCCAGCCACAGCGGGUUCUCGGCGGCGCGCCCGGUGCCGUACGUGGCGAGCAGGGCCUGCGCCUC
rnacentral:antisense_RNA from 1 species